GGUAUGUAAAGCUCUAUCAGCAGGGAAGAUAAUGACAGUACCUGACUAAGAAGCACCGGCUAAAUACGUGCCAGCAGCCGCGGUAAUACGUAUGGUGCAAGCGUUAUCCGGAUUUACUGGGUGUAAAGGGAGCGCAGGCGGUGCGGCAAGUCUGAUGUGAAAGCCCGGGGCUCAACCCCGGUACUGCAUUGGAAACUGUCGUACUAGAGUGUCGGAGGGGUAAGCGGAAUUCCUAGUGUAGCGGUGAAAUGCGUAGAUAUUAGGAGGAACACCAGUGGCGAAGGCGGCUUACUGGACGAUAACUGACGCUGAGGCUCGAAAGCGUGGGGAGCAAACAGGAUUAGAUACCCUGGUAGUCCACGCCGUAAA
rnacentral:rRNA from 1 species